rfam:Arabis alpina cultivar Pajares chromosome 1, whole genome shotgun sequence.
ACGACCUUACUUGAACAGGAUCUGUUCUAUAGGCUCGUACCUCUGUAUCCUUGACUUCUAAGGAGACAGGCCCUUAACCCUGGUUGAUGCAUCAUGACCGUGCGAUCAGAGCGUGAUUAACGGCCACGAUCGAUUUUCGGAUCAGUCUGGUGCUGUAGAGGAUCGUUACUCGGCUCGGUCUAAUCCUAGCCGGGGUGGUCGCACGGCGGUCUGACAGGUU